CUGUAUUAAUGCUGCAAGGGACUUUUUUAUGUGUCAUUAUGACAGGUGGUGGAGGCAGCAAGCCCCAUUCCAGUGAGUGAGCCUGUCCUUGGCUGUACUACUGGUGUUAGCCCUCUCACUGGUCAAAGCUGAAGGAGUUAAGGGGCAGAGGAACUAGGAGAUGGAGGCUGGGGAAGAUGAAACAGGUUUGUAAACACAACUGAAACCAGUUUAGCUUAGAUUUUUUUAAGUAAACAAAGGGAUUUUACUUUACUGAAACAUUACUGUUUACAACUUCAAAAAGAGGUACAAGUAAUUUUCACCUGUGAGCUGAUAUAGAUAGAUAGAUAGAUAGAUAGAUAGAUAGAUAGAUAGAUAGAUAGAACCUGUCUAAAAAGUGUUAGGAGAGGCAAUAAUUUUAAAAUCAAACGGAAACAGAAAGAAAAUAGAAGACCAAAGUAGAAUUAAUCCUAAUCAAAGAGGGACAGUCAAUUGUGGACAAAAGAUGGACUUGUGAGAAAGUCCCCAAAAGAAAGCUUAGCCAAGCAAAAUCUAAACUGAAAACUCAGAAAAAUACCAAAAUGAAGAUUUUAAGGAUAAUCACCAAAAAAACAAAAACACCACGUGACAACUGGAGAAGCCAAGAGAAGAUGAAGGAAUUUGAAGGGGAUAAAUCAAGUUUUGCUUACUUUUCAAACGAACUAAUCUUUGGAUGUAAAAAGGAACACCUGAAAGCACAUAGAUGGAUAUGAAGUUAGCUUGAAGCACAGUGAAAAAUAGGUAGGGGAAAUGCAAAGUUUUUCUUUUAAAGGGCAACAAGAGAAGCCAUCUGAUGUUAGGAAAAGUGUGAGGUUUUCAUUGCUGAAGCUAGAAAAGCCAAGUUUGGGAAGACUUUAGCACAGGAAAGACUUAGAAGCAAGAAGUGUUGGUGGAUCCAGGCUGAUGAAGUGUAGCUGGUAACACAAAAACUGAAAGCCCUCUGCAGUGUUCUUAGUAAUACUUUGAUAAUAAGUUUUUUACUGAAGCCAGAACUAGAAGAGAUGAGAAGGGAGGGGUUUUGGGAGCAUUGCAGGCAUACUUACUUCUUGUCUCUUGCUAGAAAGUCUGGAAAGUCCUUGUGUGUACCACCUUCCUGAGGUUAUAAGUUUUUUGUUUUUCAUCUAGCCCUGGGAGUGGCAUCUAGCAUCUGUAACCCUCCCUUAGAAUGAGUGUGCCAAGAUUUUGGUGGAUAGCAAGUGCCGCAAGUAGCAGAAGCAAAAUGCACUCAUCACUGGUCAGAGUAUUUUACCUAAUUUGAAGCUAUGGGGGAAUUUGCAGAAGAUGAGCACCAAAAUAUUGUUGAGGGUUUCUAUGUUCUUUGAGAUGUUUCUCUACCCAGAAAGUCCCAAACAUGCCAGCAUCUUAGGAAGAUAAAAACCACAAGCAAACUGAAGGUGACUUGCCGAUUCCAGUAUGGAAAAGCAAAGAAGGCAUUUUGAGGAUGAAGCUGCUGAUGGCAAUGAUAAGAAAGAGGUGGCUUGUCCUUGGCUCCUGUGGAGGAGGAGAGACAGAGUGACUGCUCAAGGACGUAGCAACUCCAGGACCCUGCGUGAAAGUGUAUUAUUUCUCUUAGGAAAGUUUUUCCUGGGUGACCUUGGGCCAGUCACUGCCUCUUAGCCUAACCUACUUCACAGGGUUGUUGUGAGGAUGAAAUAAUGAGGGGAACCAUUAUACCACCUGUGCAGAAAAUUAUGUAAGAUAUGGGAAAUGGGCCUCAAAAGGUAUCAAUGCAAAAGGGCAGGCAAAACUAUAAGCAGUACGUAAUGUGGCUGUGAUUGCAUAACUCUCUCAUUACAGCCUACAGGUGAAACUCGGAAAAUUAGAAUAUCGUGGAAAAGUUCAUUUAUUUCAGUAAUUCAACUUAAAAGGUGAAACUAAUAUAUGAGAUAGACUCAUGACAUGCAAAGCGAGAUAUGUCAAGCCUUUAUUUGUUAUAAUUGUGAUGAUCAUGGUGUACAGCUGAUGAAAACCCCAAAUGAGCAAUCUCAGAAAAUUAGAAUAUUAAAUGAAAUCAGCAAAACAAGGACUGCAAAUAGAGCAAUAUUGGACCUCUGAGAAGUAGAAGCAUGCAUAUGUACUCAGUACUUGGUUUGGGCCCCUUUUGCAUCAAUUAUUGCCUCAAUGUGGCGUGGCAUGGAUGCUAUCAGCCUGUGGCACUGCUGAGGUGUUAUGGAAGACCAGGAUGCUUCAAUAGCAACCUUCAGCUCUUCUGCAUUGCUUGGUCUCAUGUCUCUCAUCUUUUUCUUGGAAAUGCCCCAUAGAUUCUCUAUGGGGUUCAGGUCAGGCGAGUUUGCUGGCCAAUCAAGCACAGUAAUCCCAUGGGCAUUGAACCAAGUUUUGGUACUUUUGGCAGUGUGGGCAGGUACCAAAGUCCUGCUGGAAAAUGAAGUCAGUAUCCCCUUAAAGCUCAUCUGCGGAAGGAAGCAUGAAGUGCUCCAAAAUCUCCUGGUAGACUGCUGCGUUGACCCUGGACUUAACGAACCACAGUGGACCAACACUCAUUUUUUGUAGGAUUGGUGGAAAGUGACUGGGGACAAAGUAGUGACUCUAGAUCUCUCUGUUCUGCCCCUCUAGAUUAAUGGUGCCCCCAGCUUCAAAUAAAAUGGUGGGCAAAAUGGUAUUCCAUGACUGAGGGACAUUUAGGUGAGUAUCCCUUGGUUGGCUAGGGAGGAAAUCUCUAUUGUGUUCCAUCUGCAACUCAUUGUGCUAAGAUUCUUUCAGGUUGCGGUGACUGAGUUGUCAGAAGAGGCCCAUUCCAUGUCACCACAAUGAGGCUCACCUGCAGGUAGGAGAAGACUUCUUCUUUUGUUCCAGCUCUUCUUUCCUUCAGGCUUCACAGAGUUCACUGCACCUGAAGUGAGAGUCACCUGCAUUUGGACUGUGCUGCUUUAGGUAAGUUCACAUUCCACCACUCAGUCGUCUUUUUUCAAGACAAUCUUUUUUGUAUUGGUCUUUCCUUUUCCCCAUUUUCUUUUCUGCUCGUCUCUCCACAGGUCUCUCCAAAGAGCUCUUCUUAGCAUCUUAAGGUUUUCUUUUUCCUGAGAGAACAUUGUGCCAAUGUUCUCUCAGGUUUUGCUUUUCCCCUUGUUGCAUUGCUGGAAAAAAAAGCAAAAGACACUGGCGGUCGGCGCUCCUGGUUCCCAGGACGGGGUUCAAAUCCCUGCGGUGUCCUCACUUACUUACAAUGCAACUUCUAUGUCUCUCUAUCCCUCUCUAUCCCUCUCUAUCCCACACUGCCCAAAUAACAGUGGCUACCUAUCUGAAUCUGCCCAGAUAACAAUUGGCUCCCUUUUUCGUAAGCUGAAAAACGGUUUUUCAAUCUCCCCCAGUCACUUUUGAUUCUUUGGUCUUGCUUUGGAGUUUGAGCUUGUAGCUUAGGGUUGGAGACUAAACAUGCUAAAGGGAAGUAUAACAAGGAGCGGGGAACAAGGAGAGGAGAAAGGAGGAGAAAGAAGUGACCUGGACAGAGGGAGAGGAGCUUCAGUAAAAAGUGGUCCUAAGUGGCCAAGUUGAGUUACUACAUUUAAAUUUAUAAAACUGGCUAAAAGAGCAUCACCUGGUGGUCAAAGUUAAAAAUUCAGUCAAAAGCUCAUUUAAACAUCAGAGAGGAUUAUAAGAGACUGUAAGCAACAACUGUGUCACAGAAAAAGAGAGCAGAGUCCACUCCAGGAGAAAGGAGGAACUCAAAAAGGGACAAGAGCCCAGAGGUGAUGUUUUAGAAAUGUUUGCUAAAAUAAGGGAGGACAUUAAAGAGAGGGAGAAGAAUCUUGAGAGUAGAUUGGAAAAGAUGGAACAGAAAAUUGACCAAUCGGUGUCUGAACUGAGAGGUCAAAUAAAUGAGGUUAAAUCUAAAACUCAAGUUCUAGACGAGGCUGUUAAAAAGAAAAAGAAAGAAGUAAAAGGAACAAGGAGGGAGGGAGAGAAAGUUAAAGGAGAUGUAUCAGAGUUGGCAAGGAUGCAUGAGGAGACCUUGGAUACCUUGGCUUAUAUGGAGAUGAAGCAAAAGGAGAUGCAACUACACUUCUAAGGUGUCCCAGAACAGGAGGGUGAAGUAAUUUAUGACAAGAUGAUAACAGAAAUUGCUAAUUGGCUAAAAAUGAAGGAAGAUGAGGUUGCUCAAACAAUUGAUAGUGUUUUUAGGAUCAAAUUUAAAUCCAAAAAAGGUAAAAAAAUUCCUGGUGACUGUUUGAUUUUCUUUAAUUCUAGAGAAAUGAAUGACUUGAUUCUAAAAACUAAUCAAGAGAAGAAAUUGUGCAUUGAGGAGAAAUUUAUUAUAAUAUAUUAAGAAACACCUAAAAGAGUUUUGAAACAAAGAGAGCCAUAUAAAGGAAUUACACAAACUCUGAGAAAGAAUGGAAUUAGAUUUUGGCAGAAAUUCCCAGAAGGGAUCUCCUUCUUCUUCAAGGACAAAAAAAUUAAGUUCAAGUCACCUCAGGACAUUGAUAAGUUUAGAAGGAAGUACUCAAAGGAGCUUGGAGAAAAGGAGGACGAUGUGCCGGAAUUCGGACAAGGAAGUGAUAAUAUUUAGGAAUCAAUAGACAUAUUUUAUUUAAAAAUUGAUACGAGAUGGCUCUGAAAAUCAUAUCCUGGAAUUUUAAUGGACUGAACAAUAAAGUAAAAAGAAAUAAAAUUCAUCAUAUAUUAACGAAACAGAAUUUGGAUAUUAAUUGCUUACAAGAAACACAUGUGGCAAGAAAACGCAGGUGAAUAUUAAAUAAUAAAAAACUAGGUAAUGAAUUUAUUUCUUCAGAUGUAAAUAAAAAAGAGUUGUUCUGUAUAUAAAGGAUAAAUAUGAUUCACGACAGAUCUUCAAGUAUGAAGAGGGGAGGAUACUAGAGGUGGAAGUGUCAGCACUAAGCAGAAAACUGUUAAUUGUGGGAAUCUAUGCACCUAAUAAGGGGAUAUUGGAUUUCUAUAAGAACCUAGAGAAGAAGCUUUUUGAACAUGGAUCAAAAAAUAAUUAUUUUGGGUGACUUUAAUGGGGUGGUUUCAUUGGAAAUGGAUAGAACUCAAAGAAAGAGAGAUUCAAACCAAGGGAAACUACCAAAGACUUUCUUCACUUUUGUGGAGAAUUAUGACCUAAUUGAUAUUUGGAUAUUAAAGGUACCCCUGCCCGUACGGGCCAGUCGUGUCCGACUCUAGGGUUGUGCGCCCCUCUCACUUGAGGCCGGGGGCCAGCGCUGCCCGGAGACACUUCCGGGUCACGCGGCCAGCGUGACGAAGCUGCUCUGGCGAACCAGCACCAGCACAGCACACAGAAACGCCGUUUACCUUCCCGCUAUAAAGCGGUACCUAUUUAUCUACUUGCACUUAAGAGUGCUUUCGAACUGCUAGGUGGGCAGGAGCUGGGACCGAAAGACGGGAGCUCACCCCGCCGCGGGGAUUCGAACCGCCGACCAUACGAUCGACAAGUCCUAGGCACUGAGGUUUUACCCACAGUGCCACCCGCGUCCCCUCCAUUUGGAUAUUAAAACACUUAUUAGAUAAAGAGUAUAGUUUCUUCUCUGAACCAAACUAAAGUGCAGGAAGAAUCGACUACUUAUGGAUUUCCAGAGACCUAGUUCCAAGAGCAAUAAGAACUGAGAUUCAACAUCGAACACUCUCGGAUCAUAAUCCCGUAAUGAUGGAACUGAAGGGAAAAGAUGAGGUUUCAUUUAGGUGGAGGAUGAAUGAAGGGUUGUUUAGAGACCAGAAAAUAAUUGAAAAUAAUUGGAAUAAUUGGGAUGCCUGCAAAGCAGUAAUGAGAGGUUUCUUAAUACAACAGAACUCCAUACAAAAGAAGGCAAGGGAGAAGAGAAUCAGAAUAUAGGUAAUGUAAAGUUAUGUAAAAUCACACAGUGUUUUUUGAAAAUGAAAAUGCCAAUAAAUAUUAUAAUAAUACAUAACAGUGAGUCUGGUUUUGGAGGUCACAUGGCAAGCCUGUAAAUUAAAAAGAUAUUUUUGAAUUAAAAAGUGUCAGCAGAGAGAUUUCCAGUGCAACCCUAUGCAUGUCUACUCAGGAGUAAAUCCACCUGGGUACAAAGGGACUUAUUCCCAGCUAAGUGUGUUUAGGAUUGUAGCCUUUAUGAUGCAUCAGACUUGGUCUACAUCUGCUUUUAAGGGGACUUUAGAAUACUUGAGUAAAUAUAGGAUGCAUAGAUUUUUUAUAAAUUUGAGGCAUGAGCCGUCCAAAGGUAAAACAUCGAAGCCUCAAAAAUGUAUAGCAUUGCUUGUAAAAGCAUUGUAAGAGAAAGUAGGGUGAAUGACAGAAAGCAGCCAAUGGCAUGAAACUGUGGCAUCCUCCAGAGCAAGAGGCCUGGAAGAGAAUUUUGAAGGCAGAGAUACUUCAGAGAUUCUCCUCAUCCACAUUCUGAAUGACCUGUACUUGUUUCCAAAGUAGAACCAAUGCAUUAAGAAUUGUCCCUUUUUUUUGUUUCCGUGCAGUUUCUACGCACAACUUCCUUCAAGCUGGGAAGAAAGUUCCCCCAUUUCAGUUAUGUCUGUCCUAAUCCAUUACAGAUG
rnacentral:lncRNA from 1 species